AUUGAACGCUGGCGGCAUGCUUUACACAUGCAAGUCGAACGGUAACAGGCCGCAAGGUGCUGACGAGUGGCGAACGGGUGAGUAAUGCAUCGGAACGUGCCCAGUCGUGGGGGAUAACGCAGCGAAAGCUGUGCUAAUACCGCAUACGAUCUGUGGAUGAAAGCGGGGGACCUUCGGGCCUCGCGCGAUUGGAGCGGCCGAUGUCAGAUUAGGUAGUUGGUGGGGUAAAGGCUCACCAAGCCGACGAUCUGUAGCUGGUCUGAGAGGACGACCGGCCACACGGGAACUGAGACACGGCCCAGACUCCUACGGGAGGCAGCAGUGGGGAAUUUUGGGCAAUGGGCGCAAGCCUGAUCCAGCAAUGCCGCGUGCAGGAAGAAGGCCUUCGGGUUGUAAACUGCUUUUGUACGGAGCGAAAAGGCUCCCUCUAAUACAGGGGGCUCAUGACGGUACCGUAAGAAUAAGCACCGGCUAACUACGUGCCAGCCGCCGCCGUAACAC
rnacentral:rRNA from 1 species